AGAGUUUGAUCCUGGCUCAGGAUGAACGCUGGCGGCGUGCUUAACACAUGCAAGUCGAGCGGGUUACCGUAGUAAUACGGUGAUCAGCGGCAAACGGGUGAGUAACACGUAAGUAAUCUUCCCUUAAGACUGGCAUAACCCCGCGAAAGCGGGACUAAUACCAGAUGUGAUAGCAGGGACUAAUGUCCAGGCUAUUAAACGGAACGCAAGAACCGCUUGAGGAUGAGCUUGCGGCCUAUCAGCUAGUUGGCGGUGUAAUGGACCACCAAGGCGAUGACGGGUAGCUGGUCUGAGAGGACGACCAGCCACACUCGCACUGAGACACGGGCGAGACUCCUACGGGAGGCAGCAGUGAGGAAUUUUCCGCAAUGGACGAAAGUCUGACGGAGCGACGCCGUGUGUGUGAUGAAGUCCUUCGGGAUGUAAAACACUGUCGAGGGGGACGAUAUUGACGGUACCCCUGGAGGAAGCCCCGGCUAACUACGUGCCAGCAGCCGCGGUAAUACGUAGGGGGCGAGCGUUGUCCGGAAUUAUUGGGCGUAAAGGGCGUGUAGGCGGUUCUGUAAGUUGGAUGUUAAAGGUAUGGGCUCAACUCAUACAUCGCGUCCAAUACUGCAGUUCUGGAGAUUGGUAGAGGGAAACGGAACUUCCGGUGUAGCGGUGAAAUGCGUAGAUAUCGGAAGGAACACCAGUGGCGAAGGCGGUUUCCUGGGCCAAUUCUGACGCUGAGGCGCGAAAGCUAAGGGAGCAAACAGGAUUAGAUACCCUGGUAGUCC
rnacentral:rRNA from 1 species